rnacentral:rRNA from 1 species
AAGGAGUUUUCGGACAACGGAUUGAGUUGUUUAGUGGCGGACUGGUGAGUAACGCGUGAGGAACCUGCCCUUGAGUGGGGGACAACGGCUGGAAACGGCUGCUAAUACCGCAUGACGCAACGUUGGGACAUCCCGACGUUGCCAAAGAUUUUAUCGCUCAAGGAUGGCCUCGCGUCUGAUUAGCUUGUUGGUGAGGUAACGGCCCACCAAGGCGACGAUCAGUAGCCGGACUGAGAGGUUGGCCGGCCACAUUGGGACUGAGAUACGGCCCAGACUCCUACGGGAGGCAGCAGUGGGGAAUAUUGGGCAAUGGACGCAAGUCUGACCCAGCAACGCCGCGUGAAGGAAGAAGGCUUUCGGGUUGUAAACUUCUUUUAAGGGGGAAGAGCAGAAGACGGUACCCCUUGAAU